rnacentral:rRNA from 1 species
UACGAAGGGGGCUAGCGUUGCUCGGAAUGACUGGGCGUAAAGGGCGCGUAGGCGGUUUGUACAGUCAGGUGUGAAAUUCCCGGGCUCAACCUGGGGGCUGCACUUGAUACGUAGGAACUGGAGUGGGGAAGAGGGUCGUGGAAUUCCCAGUGUAGAGGUGAAAUUCGUAGAUAUUGGGAAGAACACCGGUGGCGAAGGCGGCGACCUGGUCCUUGACUGACGCUGAGGCGCGAAAGCAUGGGGAGCGAACAGG